rnacentral:rRNA from 1 species
UCCAGACUCCUACGGGAGGCAGCAGUCGGGAAUAUUGCGCAAUGGAGGAAACUCUGACGCAGUGACGCCGCGUAUAGGAAGAAGGUUUUCGGAUUGUAAACUAUUGUCGUUAGGGAAGAGAAAGGACAGUACCUAAGGAGGAAGCUCCGGCUAACUACGUGCCAGCAGCCGCGGUAAUACGUAGGGGGCAAGCGUUAUCCGGAAUUACUGGGUGUAAAGGGAGCGCAGACGGCAGUGCAAGUCUGGAGUGAAAGCCCGUGGCUUAACUACGGGACUGCUCUGGAAACUGUGCGGCUAGAGUGCAGGAGAGGCAGGCGGAAUUCCUAGUGUAGCGGUGAAAUGCGUAGAUAUUAGGAGGAACACCAGUGGCGAAGGCGGCCUGCUGGACGAUGACUGACGUUGAGGCUCGAAAGCGUGGGGAGCAAACAGGAUUAGAUACCCUAGUAA